AUGCCGCACGGCCGUCCUCCCCAACAAUAUCCUGGUGCUGAGUGGUGACUCCGGCAACUCCAGCAUCAGUGAUUUUGUUGAAGAGGGUGGCUGCCA
rnacentral:pre_miRNA from 1 species